GAGAAAUGCAGGUGCUCUGGCCCACACCAGACCUGCUGAAUCAGAAUCUGCAUGAAAAAGAGCCUCAGUUCCUUGGGUGACGCCUGAUCAGUCAAGGAUCCAGGAUCCUGAGGAAUGAAGCUUAUCCAAGUGCUCUGACCAGUGUGACAGCAAUGCUAAGCACCGCAUGGAAAUGAGCAGCACUGUUUUCAGAAUAAGCUUAUCAUGUAAAGGUGUGACUUCGAGGAAGGAUGGCUACUAGAGACUUUAAAAUGACAUAAGCCACUCCCAUUAUGUUUCUAUUGGACAGUGCUAGACAAGGGAUUAAAUAACAGUGGAGACACAACUGGAGAAGUUGAUUGGAUCCCAAGCUUGGAAGGCCUUGAAGAACAUUUACGAAUCACCCUGAGUGUGCUAAAUUUUGCCUACAACUUAUAGAAAUAUACAAUGUCUUCACUCAAGGUUCACGGCUUUUAUAUUGCCUGUGUUUCUCCACCUUCCGAUGAGGCUUCAGCAGAAUCCGAGCUAUUCUCCUGGAAUCCAACCAGCAAGCUGUUAUCAGAAUUCUCCAGCAACUCCUGGAUACCAUUGCCAACAAGCUGGAAAGAAUUGUGCAGGGGAAAUGCCAGCCUUGCUGAAUCAAGAAACUUCUUCAACCCAAAGUUGAAUGGAAAGAAGUAGAUGUUGUUAUGCACAGAUACCCUGGAACAGUGAUUGGUGGC